rnacentral:rRNA from 1 species
UACGAAGGGGGCUAGCGUUGUUCGGAAUUACUGGGCGUAAAGCGCGCGCAGGCGGCCAUUCAAGUCAGGGGUGAAAGCCCAGAGCUCAACUCCAGAACUGCCUUCGAUACUGGGAGCUCGAGUCCGGGAGAGGUGAGUGGAACUGCGAGUGUAGAGGUGAAAUUCGUAGAUAUUCGCAAGAACACCAGUGGCGAAGGCGGCUCACUGGCCCGGUACUGACGCUGAGGUGCGAAAGCGUGGGGGAGCAAACAGG